rnacentral:rRNA from 1 species
UCGCGGCAGAUUAGUUAGUUGGCGGGGUAAUGGCCCACCAAGACAGUGAUCUGUAUCCGGCCUGAGAGGGCGCACGGACACACUGGAACUGAAACACGGUCCAGACUCCUACGGGAGGCAGCAGUGGGGAAUUUUGCGCAAUGGGGGAAACCCUGACGCAGCAACGCCGCGUGGAGGAUGAAGUCUCUUGGGACGUAAACUCCUUUCGAUCGGGACGAUAAUGACGGUACCGAGAGAAGAAGCCCCGGCUAACUUCGUGCCAGCAGCCGCGGUAAUACGAGGGGGGCGAGCGUUGUUCGGAAUUAUUGGGCGUAAAGGGUGCGUAGGCGGUUCGGUAAGUCUUGUGUGAAAUCUUCAGGCUCAACUUGAAGUCUGCACGAGAAACUGCCGGGCUUGAGUGUGGGAGAGGUGAGUGGAAUUUCCGGUGUAGCGGUGAAAUGCGUAGAUAUCGGAAGGAACACCUGUGGCGAAAGCGGCUCACU